rnacentral:rRNA from 1 species
GACGUAGGGCGCGAGCGUUGUCCGGAUUUAUUGGGCGUAAAGAGCUCGUAGGCGGCUUGUCGCGUCGUCCGUGAAAAACCUGCAGCUCAACUGCAGGCUUGCGGUCGAUACGGGCAGGCUAGAGUUCGGUAGGGGAGACUGGAAUUCCUGGUGUAGCGGUGAAAUGCGCAGAUAUCAGGAGGAACACCGGUGGCGAAGGCGGAUCUCUGGGCCAUUACUGACGCUGAGGAGCGAAAAGCGUGGGGGAGCGAACAGG